CUACUCUUUGCCAUCAAACGCUUUGAGUUACUGUCUUAUCUUGAUCUCAAUGGGGAGAUGUUUAUAGGACCCCCCAUCUACCCUUACAGUCUUCUUAGAAAUGGAGCGCAAGGACCUCCUGAGCAGCUCUGACCUCCUCCGGCUUGAGGACCAACUCAAAUCAAACCGCUGUCAAUCGUUGCUGACAGACAUCGGAAGGUCUCACAAGCUCCAGUUCGUAAGCUGAUUGGAAGGAGGCGGCUGAUUGGAAGGAGGCGGCUCACUCACCAAGACGGGUGAACAGCAGAAGCUGGCAGACAGUAUCACAGCCUACACAGACAGGACGUGUGUCUUCAUUGAGAUCAAUUUAGAAAACGUGUUUCUGUUGGACGCUGUGGAGGAGGAUAAUAGGGGAGCCUGACACUAAAGCGGACGGAACCUAUUGCUGUUCGAACACAAUCUCACCAGGUAAUACAUUUAAUUACAUUUUACGGCUGCCAAGCCUAAAGCGGACCAAUAAGACCAUGACAGACCAUUAAGACCCUGACGCAGACCAUGAAUAAUCUGAUUGAGCAUUAAGACCGUGAAGCAAACCUUAAAGACCCUGAAAAAGACAAUUAAGACCGAUAUUGUUUGCAUACGGUUGACGCUGGAAUAACCUCAGCUUGGAUCUGUCAAUG
ensembl:lncRNA